GAAAUCCAAACUAAUUCUCAUCUCCAUCUCAUCUUCAAAUACUUUUUAUUAUUCCAAUUUACAAAGAUAAUGAAUUCCAAGCCUUUCAUCCUCCUCGGUCUUCUGUUCUCCAUUGUCAUCCUCUCUUCAGAGGAUGUAAACACGGUUACGGCUAGGGAUGUAAAAUUCAAAGAAGCUAUUAUGGAAACUGAUGAACUUCAUGACGAAGUCAACCGCCAUGGUUUUGGAAGAGGACAAGCUAGAUUCCUCCAACAAUGCCUCCAUGGUUGCAGGAACCGUUGUUGUAGCUGCGUCCGUGGUCGUUGCGUCCAUUGCUGCUAGAUUGGCUGGUGAGGCCGUGGUUGAUGAUGUAGAACCUCAAGCUAAAGGCAUACCAACUAAACGUAUUUUGUUACUUCAAAUAAUGGCCUUGAUUUCUCAAGUUGAUAUGUAUCGGUAUGUAUAUGUUUGUUGUUUAAUGUUUUUAAGUAAUGAAUAAAUGCUUUCUUAAAAAAGGAAAAAAAAAAAAUAGUGAUGAAUAAACGCAUAAGCUUGAAAUUAAUUGUGUGUAUUUAAAACUUUUAAGUAAAAUUCGAAUUGAGAUAUAAUUUUUAAAAAAAAAAUGUUGCUCAAUUCAAACAGUUCAUGUAUCAA